rnacentral:rRNA from 1 species
CCGACGGUGAGGGACGAAGCCUAGGGGCACGAACCGGAUUAGAUACCCGGGUAGUCCUAGGUGUAAACGCUGUGGACUUGGUGUUGGGGAUUCUCCGAGGAUUCUCAGUGCCGAAGCGAAGGUGAUAAGUCCACUGCCUGGGGAGUACGGUCGCAAGGCUGAAACUUAAAGGAAUUGGCGGGGGAGCACCGCAACCUGAGGAUUGUGCGGUUUAAUUGGAUUCAACGCCGGAAAACUCACCAGUGCCGACGGACAAAUGAAAGCCAGUUUAAUGAGCUUGCUGGAUUGUUCGAGAGGUAGUGCAUGGCCGUCGUCAGUUCGUACCGUAAGGCGUUCUGUUAAGUCAGAUAACGAACGAGACCCUCAUCGCUAUUUGCUAAGGUCAGUCCGCUGAUCACAGGACUAUAGCGAGACCGCUGGCGCUAAGUCAGAGGAAGGCGAGGGCAACGGUAGGUCAGUAUGCUCCGAAUGCACUGGGCUACACGCGCAAUACAAAGGACGGGACAAUGGGCCGCUGCGCCGAGAGGCAUGUGGCUAUCUCGAAACCCGUUCGUAGUUCGGAUUGAGGGCUGUAACUCGCCCUCAUGAAGCUGGAUUAGGUAGUAAUCGCGUCUCAAAAAGGCGCGGUGAAUAUGCCCCUGCUCCUUGCACNCACCGCCCGU